CUGCAGCUCAAGUGGUGAUCGUUAUUAUUGGGCCUAAAACGUUCGUAGCCGGUUUAGUAAAUGCCUGGGUAAAUUGUGUAGCUCAACUAUACGACUUCCGGGUAGACUGCUAAACUUGAGACCGGGAGAGGCUAGAGGUACUCCUGGGGUAGAGGUGAAAUUCUGUAAUCCUAGGGGGACCACCAGUGGCGAAGGCGUCUAGCUAGAACGGGUCUGACGGUGAGGGACGAAGCCCUGGGGCACAAACCGGAUUAGAUACCCGAGUAGUCC
rnacentral:rRNA from 1 species